rnacentral:rRNA from 1 species
GUCUAUGGCCAUACCACCCUGAAUGUGCCUGAUCUCAUCUGAUCUUGGAAGUUAAACAGGAUCAGGCUUAGUUAGUACUUGGGUGAGAGAAAAAGCAUGCUCAAAUGAAUGGGAACUAUGUUUGACUGUAGCUU